UGUGGGAGCGGGCUUGCUCGCGAUGCAAACAGCGCGGUGUAUCAGAUUGACCGCGGUGAUCCCAUCGCGAGCAAGCCCGCUCCCACA
rnacentral:misc_RNA from 1 species